UGGGGAAUAUUGCACAAUGGGCGCAAGCCUGAUGCAGCAAUGCCGCGUGAGUGAAGACAGCCCUAGGGUUGUAAACCGCUUUCAGCAGGGAAGAAACUGACGGUACCUGCAGAAGAAGAUGCGGCCAACUACGUGCCAGCAGCCGCGGUGACACGUAGGCAUCAAGCGUUAUCCGGAUUUAUUGGGCGUAAAGAGCUCGUAGGCGGUUCGGUAAGUCGGGUGUGAAAACUCUGGGCUCAACCCAGAGAGGCCACUCGAUACUGCUGUGACUAGAGUGCGGUAGGGGAGCGGGGAAUUCCUGGUGUAGCGGUGAAAUGCGUAGAUAUCAGGAGGAACACCAGUGGCGAAGGCGGCUACCUGGACCAGUUCUGACGCUGAGGCGCGAAAGCGUGGGGAGCAAACAGGAUUAGAUACCCUGGUAGUCCACGCUGU
rnacentral:rRNA from 1 species